UGGCAUGUGCAUGCCAGCUUUUCAUCUUCCAAAGAAGCAUGUAGUUUGUUAUCUAAGCUUUCUGCAGUUUCUCUUUGCUGGAAUUUGCUUGGUGGCUUAGGGUGCUACAUUUGUUUGCUUCUCACUGUGAAUGGCAUUUCAAGUCACAUUCAUGGCUUAUCUAGGGUAUUUUGUCCUAGCUAAGAACUGAUCUAGAGUUUGUUCUCACCUAGUUUUCAACCGACUUUACAAAUUCAUAAAGCCAAUAAGGUAUGAGUUACCUGCUUCGGGGGUUUAUUUCCAUCACAGGUGAAACAUGCCAGAACAAUCAUACUGUUCUUUUUGCCUUUUGUGCAGGUGAAUAGACAAGUGAUACUCCCCAAUCCAUACUCUAGUGUCUACAUGCUCCUGUCACCUGUAACUGCAAUUUUUCUGCAAAGGAUGAUGUCAAGACUCCAAAAUGCCCCUGGAUUGAAUCAUGCUGGCUGAGCUACUGGAUGAAUAGUAAUCCUUAUAUAAAAGCUAUUACAUAUUCUGUGGAAGCCAUGUGACUUUGGAACAAUUUUUAUUGCUUGUUAUAAAUAAUCUACUACCAAGAGUGUGGAUUAAUGAUGUGAGAUUGUUAAAGCUGAAAUAUUAGUCUCAAAUUUGAAUCUUA